UACGUAGGGUGCGAGCGUUAAUCGGAAUUACUGGGCGUAAAGCGUGCGCAGGCGGUUCGUUGUGUCGGUGGUGAAAGCCCCCGGGCUUAACCUGGGAAUGGCCAUGGAAACUGGCGAACUGGAGUGUGGCAGAGGGGGGGCGGAAUUCCGCGUGUAGCAGUGAAAUGCGUAGAGAUGCGGAGGAACACCGAUGGCGAAGGCAGCCCCCCUGGGCUAGCACUGACGCUCAGGCACGAAAGCGUGGGGGAGCAAACAGG
rnacentral:rRNA from 1 species